rnacentral:rRNA from 1 species
UACAAUGGGGGUUAAGAAUUAUUUUUGGUUAGUAGUAAUUUUAUUAAUUAUUAUUUUUAUAAUUUUUAGGUGAAAUUUAUAAUUAUAUUUAGAAUAUUCCUUUUGAUUCUAUGAAAUUUAAAAUUAAAACAAGGAUUAGAUACCCUUUUAUAUUAAAUGUAAAUUUUUUACUUGGGUAGUAUUAGUUAAGUUCUUGAAACCUAAAGGAUUUGGCGGUAUUUUAGUCUUUUCAGAGGAACCUGUCCCUUAAUCGAUGACCCACGAUUUUAAUUACUUAUUUUUGUAUUCAGUUUGUAUAUCUCCGUCAUAAGGAUAUCUUUUUAGAGGUAAUUUCCUUGAUUAUUAAAUAUAAGUAUGUCAGGUCAAGGUGCAGCUUAUAAAUAAGAGGUGAUGGGUUACAAUAAUAUUAUUUAUAUGAAUAUAUAUACUUGUGUUAUAUUGAAGGUGAAUUUGAAAGUAAAUUUAUUUAUUAAUUAUUUUGAUUUUAGCUCUAAAAUAUGUACAUAUCGCCCGUCGCUCUCAUAAUAAAAUGAG